GGAGAAUCAGAGAAGGCGUGAAUUCUGAGCAUCUUCACCGGGAGAUCCCUGGUCCCUUGCUCUCCAGACGCGCUAUAAGAUACAUCCUGCAUCUAGCAUGUUGAAUGAUCUCCAAAAUCUCUGAUGCCUGAGCCAUGUCCUAUUGUCCAGAUUAAGACAUUUUUCCUUUAAAGCAGUACAGUAUAAAGGAUAUGGAGCUGUCAUAUUGGCAGUAGUGGGCUGGGAGACCUCUGGCUCCAGCACAAUUCACUACUUGUGGAGAGCCAGGGCUAUUAGCUGCAGUGGUUGCCUUCAAGAAGCCUCUGAAGAUGGAAUAUUCUGGAGACGUUAAGAGGGACACCCUUUCUGGUUGGAGGAAGACCAUUUUUAAGACAAAGGAAUAUGGGUGGCUGCUCUCCUCUGCUAGGACCUACACCAGAGUUAAUAUGAAAGCUUCACAUGUGAGAUAAAUGCACUCAAAGACUCCUCACAAGUAGCUCUUUGGAGCUUCAGAUGUGAAAUGGAUCAUUCCUCAAUCUGUAAUAGACCCUUCUGUGAAGCUCUUCAAUCAAACCUGAGAAUUCAAGGCAUUUUGUAGCAUCCUAAACAGAAGGAUAUUGAAGGGAGCUGAUUCUGCUUUGAUCCUUGUGCUUGUUGUCAAAGCGCUUGGGAUUGAAGAGACUGUUGGCUACAAUUGACUGUGACAAUUAGGAGAUGAUCAGAGCCCUAGAGUGGAGCACUUAAAGGAGAGGUAAUGAGUGAAUGAAUGAAAAGGCAGGGAUUAUUUGCCAUUCUAAGCGGGGAUUGUCAGAACAUUUCUACUUGACUGAAAUUGUUUUGGAAGGGCAAGCUGUGACUUGUCAUUUCGAGCAUAUAGUCAUUUCUGUCUGACUAAUACCAUGGAGACUUCAGAGAAGGUGGCUGAGGCGUCUGGCUUACCUACAGUGAUCAGCUCUACAGAGAACUGAAUGAUGCAGUGGGGACAUAUAUUUGCGAAGCCACAUCUUUUCUUUUGUGGUAGGAUUGUGACUGCAUAUACACGUACUUAUGUUACUGACCUUCCCAAGUUGGUGCCCAUCUAGAUCCUUCUGCCUGGUGUCAAACAAGCCAAUAGAAUGAGACUAAGUUUGGUUCAGAAGCAAAGGAAAGCUUUAUUCUUGGAUCAGAGAAUGGAGAGGCGAGAGCUCCCGCUCUAGAGCCUCAGGCUUUCCCUAUCAGGUCGUGGGUGGGGCUGCUUUACAGGCUUCUCGUCCGCGGGAGGGGAGGGCGUUGAGUUCUCCCGGGGCGCGCAGCUGUGCCGCUCACGCUCCAGAUGGCAGUGCCGGGCGCAGCGUCUCUUCACACGGCCCUCUGCCGCCAUCUUGAAUUGAGUGUUGGGCUCCGCGUCUGCACACAAUCUUGAGCUGAGGCGUCCAGUGCGGCCAUUUUGCUCUAGGAACUCUGGUCUGAAGCGCCGGGCGCAAGGCCUCUGCACACAGCCGCCUGUGAGCAAGUGAAACGACCAAGGACAAAGAAAAAAAAGAAAGGUUAGGCUUUAUUUUAUUAUCCUCUGUUUUUAUUUCUGGGUGACACAUAUGUAUGUAAAUAUGUAUAUAUGACCAAGUUUGAAACUCUUGUAAU